ACUUAUGACAAACUGCAUACAAAAAUAUAUUUUUUCGUAUUCGAUUUAUGUCGUUACUAUUUAAUUGUUGUGUUAAUUCUAAAGGAGAGUUAACAAUUUCUUGUAUGCAGAGUUUGUAAUGGACCAAUCGUUUGUCGUACAAGUAAGACGUUUCAUAGAAGUUUUCGAGUGAAAAUAAUAAUAAUUAAUAACUAUUAUUAUGUUAUAGAAUAUAAAUUGAAGACGAUUAUAAUAUUAACCAAACAUUGCAAACCAAAUUCACUGAAUACAACAAAAUAAUUCAUAAAGUGUUGAAUAUUGGCUUUAUGAUAAUGGUAUUUUUUUUUGUUAAUCAUAAUAUUUAUACAAAAUAUGGACAAAACAUCAGCGACAGCACCGAUAAAGGUAAGUCACAACUGAAAAUGUAUUUCGUACGUCUGUAAGACAAACUUCUAGGCCCGUAAGUAGGUAGUAUUAUUCGGUUCUAUCCCCGUUUUUAAAAUUACAGGGAAAUUAACUAUUAUUAUGUUAUAGAUUGAAGACGAUUAUAAUAUUAAACAAACAUUGCAAACUGAAUACAACAAAAUGAUACAUAAAGUAUUGAAUAUUGGCUUUAUGUUAAUGGUAUUUUUUUUUUGUUAAUCAUAAUAUUUAUACAAAAUAUGGAGAACAAAACAUCAGCGACAGCACCGAUAAAGUGAACUGUAUAAGAAAAAUGGGAAAAUAUAUGCGUCAAAAAUGGCAAAUCAGAACUUCAACACCCGAACUUCCAGAAGUGAUCCCGACAUAUCCGGAAACACAACAACCUGAGCCUGAAAAACCUAGUUCUGAAACUCCCGGAGAAGAA